CAAAAUAGUAUCAGGUAGGAAAAAAGCAGGCAUUUAAGACGGGUAGUUAACUCAUCCUUACAAAUGUCAUAUAUUAGGUUACUAUAUGGUCUUGCACACCAU